GGUUCUCAUAUCUUGUCAGAUGCUGUGUUUUCAUAUCAAGAUACAGAGAAUCUAGAAAUGAAGAAAGUUUCCAGGAGAUAUUUUUCUGCUACGGGAACAACAGGAACCUCGCUGCAGGGGAGUACAGGAUUCGUGGCUCUCACCCUGGGACAAACAAAAAAAAGAAGCAAAAGCGGUGAACCCACCUGCUCUGGGAAAAUAAACCAGAGAGGAGGUACACUAUGGGAGCAGCCGGGUGAGUAGGACAGACCCCGUCACUGGAAUGAGAUACCUGUGGCUGCUGAGAUUUGGCAGCAAGCACUCUGAGGUGUAUAACCUGCAACCCGUGGAAUGCUUUUGACAGGUAGGCUGUUUUUGUGCCCUCCUUUUUGUUCCUGCCAGACUGGGAUCCUAUUCCAUAGUGUGCUGGGUGCCCUCGGCUCUUUGUAUCUCUGGCUGUAGGUGAGGGUGUCCCGUUGUUUAGGGGAGGUAUCCUCUGUCAAGCCAACUAGCUCAUUAAUCCUCUUUCCUGCUGGUGCUGUGGGAGACAGCUGGUCACCCAGGUACAUGAGGAGGGUUAUGCAAGGCAUGGCCUCACUGCAUAAGGCGCCAUGCUGACAGCCCUUGCCUAGGAGGGGCAGUGAUUUCUCCUCCAAACAUUUGGGAUAUCGGAGUGGGAGAAGCUGAGACCAUGCUCCCAUAAUCUCUCUUUGGGUACAGUUUUGUUCCUGCUCAGCCCUGUGCCUUUAUUCUGGAGUGGUUCCUUCCUGCAUGUAUGGAUGAGCAGCUAACGAGUAGGUCUAAGGACAUGGCAGAUGCAGGGCUGUACCAGUUGUUCCCAGCAGAGCCCACCUGUAACUAUGACAAUGACAUAUAAAGCAGCAGAUUCUCUUCAGAUUUACACCAGAAUAGUAAAGUAAAAGCUCCUGAGAAGUUCACAUUCCCAGAAGAGCUAUGUACUUUAGUACACAGCACGCCCACCCUUUUCUCUGGCCUCUCUCUUUGGAAUGACUCAUGCAGAUUUCUGCUUGUGGUUGCCUUCGAUCACUGCAGUGAGGCUGCUGUGAUUCAGCCGUUCUCAUUCUGAACUCCCUCAGAGCAUUCAGUCAGUCCCAGCUUACUGAGUGAGAGACUUUCCAGUGCACAUCUGUGAGCCAUCUAAGAAGUCCUACAGCGAAAACAGGAAAGAUGAAUGAUGACAUUAACCAGGAAAACAAAACAAGGCAAAAAUAUCCAAAGACUGAAAAAAAGCCUGUUUUGGAAGGAAACUCAAAACAAGGGUUCCCCCCCACUCUUUUUUUAAUACACAAUAAAGAUCAUAAACAGCACACAGAUAAUUUCUUUUCCUUUGGGACGCAACUGCAAACUGUAUAAUGGCAAAAGAUACUCAAGCAAGUUGGCAAGAAGGCUGGAGCAAAUGCCUGGCUCCAAUGGAAUUGCCUCAGUCCUGCUGUUGAUCCCAGGACCUCUGCUUCUUCUCAGGAAAGGUCAAGCACUACAGCACAGCCAUGGACAGGACCAGGUCUUGGCUCACGAGUGAUGGAGCAAAACCUUGACUUCCUGCUUAGCCGUAUAGGUUGCUUAGCCAUCUGCAGAGCCUCUUGGGCGCAGUCAUGUGACAAGAUUGCAGGAAUAACCCUGGUCCCUGUGGCAGCAAGUUCCUCUAGGGGUCUACCAACAGCACACACAAAGCCUUUGGUUUCCUGGAAACAAAUGUUUUUCCUUUUAGCAAGAUACCCCUUUACUGCCAGGCUGCAAGAUGUACCACCCACCUCUAUUCUUUGAUAGGAAAUCAGGAAAUCACAAAAAAUGACUUCCUGGAUCUGAUCAAUGACCCUGCUCACCCAGCACUCUGUUUUCAACAGUGGCAUUUAGAGAUGCUUGGGGAGAGCCCAACUGCUUUCUGCAGCCCAUUCCUCUCACACCACCAGCAGCCUCAGCUGUUAUGAAGAGACCCCCUGACUGGUCCUUUUAGCAGUCCCUCAGCAGGUGACUUGUCCAUGAGUUUGCCUGAGUCCUCCUGAGCUUGCCCACACUUGGUCGCCACAAUUCCCUCUGCCACCCCUGCCGCAGUCCUUUCCUACAUCCCCCUGGAAGUACCCACCUGCCAGUCCCUACAAGCUGCCCUUCUUCUGUGCCAUAAGAUUGGGUGCAUAACUCUCACCAUACCCACUGCCUUCAUCUCACGUGUCUUGACUGUGAGCCAGCCACCUCCCCAAGGAGCUGCAGCAAACUGAUAAGGCAGGAUUGCUCCUUGCAGACGUAGUAUUGACUCUUUUCCUUGACAUCAUGUUUAUUCGUGUGUACAGAAAUCUUAUGAAUCUGCUGUGAGAGGAGGGAUGCAAGUCAAACUCACCAGUUUGUUGUUGCCCAAUUUCCCUUCUAGCUAGCAGCUGCACUGGCAUCUCUGCCUCCUCCAGAGCAAGGGCUGCUUGUAAUCACAGCUCACACACCUUGGCCAGCAGUUCAGCAGCUUCACAUUUGAACUAUUGUGUAAAUGGUGCCUGCUCCUGCUGGCUUACUUAUCAAUUAUGGUGGAUUGCUGUAAACAUGUGUUGGGUUUGGAACUCUCUGUAAUGUCUCCAGCAAAAGAGACCGGCACAUAAAGCUCACUGAGCAUUGCUGCUGUUUCUUUGUCAUUUCUCAGUGCCCUUUUACAUGUUUGCCAUCAAAGUAGCUGGCUUCCUGUCUUUGCUAUAUACAGAAGUAAUUACUAUCAGUCUUUGCAUGGCUCAGUGCACAUUCUAUUUUAGCUCUUUUAAUUUCUGUCAUACUGUUGACUUGCCAUGUUUUAUGAGCUUUCUUGUUGGGUAAGCUUCUCAAUAUUUUAAUCAUUAACUUAUUACCUCCGAUAGCAUCCUUAAUAUUCCUACUGAGAAGCAAAAUGACCUUUUUGGACCACACUGAUUUCUUUUCAAAUUGUGCACAACUAUAAUGUGGGAUUUUAAUAUAGUAUUUUUUAAUGGCAUCUAGGAUGCCUUUUCCCUCUUGUUUCUUGGGUUGUUCCUUUUAAGUUCUUUUUUGUUUUGUUUUGUUUUGUUUUAAUCUUGUUUUGAUAUGCCUCUUUUGAAGCUGAAUAACAUCAUACUGGAUUUACUUGGGUUGUUCUCUCCCAUUUCAGCACUGUUCUGACUGUACUGUGAUUAUUAUCACAGAACUGGUCACCAUGCACCACUCCAGAUCAAACGAAAAAUAGCAUAUUUUUUGGUGGCAAAUUUUUUGAAGAAGCAGUCAUACAAUCAGAACAGUUUGGAUUGGAAAGACCAUAAAGAUUAUCUCAUUCCAACCCCGUGCCAGGUUGCCCCAAGCCCCAUCCAACCUGGCCUUGAACAACUCCAGACAUGGUGCAUCCACAACUUCUCUGGGCAGCCUGUUCUGGUUCCUAAUUACCAUCACAGUGGAUAGUUCCUUCUUUAUGUUUAAUUUUACAUUACCUUUUUUUUUUAGUUUAAAGCCCUUUCCCUUUGUCCUGUCCCUGCAUACUACAGUCCCUGCUAAUGAGUUUCUCCCCAUCUGGAAUUGGGUCUCUGCAUCUCGUCUUGAUGAACUGUUGAUCCAAAUGUAGGUAACUGAAAUUCCCUCCUCCUAUGGCCUGUUCUAAGUGUGCCACUACUUUCAUCACACAUAGCACUUCACAGAAUCACAGAAUAGUUGAGGCUUGAAGACACUUCUGGAGUCUUUGUCAUCAGCCCAACCCUGCUCAAAGCAGGUUGCCAAGGGCCUUGUCCAGUUGGGUUUUGAGUAUCGCCAAGAAUGGAGGUUUCACUACCUCUCUGGCAAAUUGUAGUGGUGUCAGAUCAUCUUCACAUGAAGACACUUAUUUCUUAUGUUUAAAUGGAAUUUCCUGUAUUUCAGAUUGUGCCCACUGAGAAGAGUGGUUUUGUCUUGUUCUCAUUGGUGUGUUCAGAAGGCAGUCAGCUAUAAGGGGAAGUUUUAGGAACAUGUUAACUGCAGCGAUGGAGUUUUCAGGGAACUCAGCACAGCCUGAUUAGGUUUUUAAUUCACAACAGUUCUUUUCCUUGUCUAUUUUUGGAUCCUCUCUAAUCAGUAUACAUGAAACUGCAUUUGGACUACUUACUACAUCCAGUUUGGGACUCCUAGUGAAAGAAGACAUUAAGAAAUUGGAAAGAGACCAGCAGAAGGUCACCAAGAUGGUAAAGGUGCUGCAGGAGGAGGGGCUGAGAGGAGGUGAUUUGUUUAACCCUUGAAGAACAUAAGGCUGAGGCAGGAUCUCCUAGCUAUCUACCUAAUAGGGAGUUACAGAGAAGAGAGUUUCACGCUUCUUGGAAGCAUACAGCAGAAGAACAGUAGACGUGGCUACAAGUUGCAAGAGAAACUCCAUCUGGACACGAGGAAAAAAAAUCACCAGAGUAUUCAACCAGUGGAAGAGGUUGCCCAUAAAUUGAUGGGAUCUCCAUAAUGGAGAUACUAAAAACCCAACAGAACCAGCCUCUGAGAAACGUAAAUUAACUUUGAAGUUAGUCAUGUUCUGAGCAGUAAUUCUUCCUUCACCCUUAGCUUUUGGCAUAUAAUUCCCUGAAAGCUCACCCGUAACUUACGGCAAGGUAAUUGCCUUCUCUGAGCAUAGCAUAUCUGAAUGCCAGUUUCCAUGACUGGUCAGAUCACAGAGCACCUUUAAUGAUGCAGCUCUCUGGUAACAGAACAAGUUUGGCUUCUCCUGGUGCCUCACAGCAGCUGGAAACAAAGCUGAGUCCCCUCCAGGGCAGUGAGAGUGUGUGCAAGACGGAUAACUCUUCCACUGCAAGGCAAGAUGGAAAAGACUGCAGAACAAACAUGAAGGCUUUGCUCCUUUGCAGGCACAGGAAUCGUGCUUUUCUGUCCUUUCAUGUGAUCCGCCUACCACAGAAAGUUGCUAACAAGGACUUGGAAAGUAAAAUGUGCAUUAAAUGAAUGGGUUUGGCAGAAGAAACAUCUGUUUAACUGGAGUGGAUGACUUCAGCUGCGAUGUGCUGCAGAGACCCAGAGCAGUGCUCAGCAGGAUGACCUCUGCCAGAUCAAUCUUCAGCGAGAGAACAUCUCACAACGCAACUGCCCCACCUCCACCUGUCAUUUCUUGAGGAAGACCUACAGAAAAUCAUAGAAUCAUAGAACCACAGAAUGGCCUGGGUUGAAAAGGACCACAGUGAUCAUCCAGUUUCAACCCCCCUGCUAUGUGCAGGGUUGCCAACCACCAGACCAGGCUGCCCAGAGCCACAUCCAGCCUGGCCUUGAAUGCCUCCAGGAAUGGGGCAUCCACAACCUCCUUGGGCAACCUGUUCCAGUGUGUUACCACCCUCUGUGUGAAAAACUUCCUCCUAAUAUCUAACCUAAACCUCUCCUGUCUCUGUUUAACAAGCCUAGGAAAUAAUAUUCAACUCUGUUGGCUACUAAAAGUCAGCAGCUCAGCAGUGCCACGUGCUUCACGCUGUCCUGCAGUGCUUCAUGCACCCUGCAUCUACUGAUCCCUCUGUCCUCAGGUGCUCCCUGCUUGGUGCUGCCACUGGACACAUCCCACCUCUCCUUGCCACCACCCUCUGUGGUCCACAGGUGUCGCCUGCUUAUGCUUUUACAGUGAUUUUACUAAAGGUAAACUGAACUCAAAGCGAUCACUCCUCACCAGCAUCAUGAUAUUUGCAGCCUCUGUCUCAGACUGGUAAAAGAGCUCGUCUGGCCAAGGUUGACAUACAGUUUUUGAGAGCCUAAUCAAAAAUUAGAGCUACAAUCAUUUCUUGUCUGUGUCCUGAGGCCUUCACAGCCGUUACAAGAAUAAAUAAGUGAUCAGACAUAUCCUUUUCUCAUCGUCGCAGCAAGGCUUAGGCUCCCUUCUGGAAGGGAGCAGCUCAUAACAAAGGCAGAGCGGUUCCUCUGCUAUCGCUGGUGGUUUUUGCAAAUGUGAAAGAUGUGCAGACAUAGCAGAGAAAAAAGAUAGCAAGUAAGCGCAGACAAACAUAGACGUCUUCACAGGAGGAAAAUUCCCCCACCCCAGUACAGACUUUUGGCUGAAGGAUAAUGUCUUUGUUCCCGGAUCCAAGAUGCUGUCACUCCCAUUUCAUUAUUCCUCCUCUAAAAGAAACAGACUUUUCACAUUCUUUGUAAAUGAAAGGGAUUGCAUUAAGUAAAAAACCUGUUUAUUGUUAGCUUUUCUUCUUAACAGAAACUGCCUGCAGGGUCCCUCCCUGUGGCCAGCAGUUUGACAGAAAGCAGUAAUAGUCCUGUGAGUGAAUCCAGUGUGGUAUGUGCAUCCUUAUUAGCCAGGAUUAAUGAAAAUGAAGAAGAAGGAAGUUGUGCUGGGUGGAUGCUGGAGCAUUUGGGCAUUUUGGAACUGAUCAGCUAGUUGAGUUUUGAUAAGUUUGCAGAUAAGUGCUUCAGGACACCAUCAAGCCUCUCUCUCCACAUAGAUUACAGCUCCAGGUCGUUAGAAGCCUGAAAGUCCUCUUUGCAAAGAUUAAAUCUGCCUCCUCCUCUACGAAUACUGGCACUGUAAGAAAGACUGCAAACUUAGGAACAUCCCAACCUGUCUUACAAAAGCGAGACUGCGCAUCAAAAUGUUAUAUGCUAUUCAUUACCAACAUUUUAAAGAGCUCAGGAAGACUUCCAAACACGAGCUGAAGAAGAACAGCCCAUGCAGCUGGACCUCACGUUGUCCCAUGUUUAAAAGUCGUUAGAGGGACAAAAUGUAAAGUAACGUGAUGGGGCUGUCUUGCAAAUGAGUGGAAGUUGGAAAAUAUAACACUUCAAAUAGGACCAUCUCUUCCAGGACUGAAUGCUUGAUAAUACAGAGGUACAGUCCUUAGGUGGCGUAGACCUUUUCAUCGUCUCAGGUGAAGACUGCAGGGUUACAGAGAUGUGAAAUUAGGCCAUGGGAGACAAUAACUGUAUAAAAUAAGCCCCUGAUGAUGAGUGUCACAGUGGCAUAGCUGGUGGUUCAAACGGGUGGCACCUUGGCAGCAGGGUCCUCUGGCUUGGAGCUCCAAGAAAGCCUUGGUGUAUAACUGUUUUAUGAGACUUCUCGUGUCUGUCGCCAUGAACUUAUCAGAAACACUGGUCUUAUCACCGUGAGAUAGUACUAUUUAUUAAGGCUUAUAGUGUAACAACUGACACUCCUCACACUGUGUAUAAACUCUCCUUCGAAGUCUAACGAUUUAUAAAAAGAGAGUGAGGAAACACAGAUACUGGGGGGAUGGAAAGCUGUCAGCGAGAGCCCUUUGGCUGAGCCUGUCCUGUCGCCAGGAGGGUCUGUGCUCUCAGAACACAAGCACCAGAGAAGAGCAGCUCCAAAACCCAAUGGCUGCAUUGCUGCAGGCCACCGGCAUUGGUCUCUUUAAGCAAACAGCGAGGGCAGACGGGGUGAAAAAUGGAGCCUGCCCAUCACCUGUGCCAUGUCGCUGAGAUGGAGCCAUGGGGAUCAUUUUAAAAGCUCCCUUUCACGGUCUGAGAGUUCACAAGCUCAGCAAACAAUCAUUUCUCUGUGGGUUUUGCUGGAGUUAAGUGGAAGGCUGUAAGGAGUCCUGCCACCUCUCACAGAGCCACAGCUUCAGGGGCUUCUGUGCUUCAGCCCUGCAGUCUCAAGCCCGUGUUGGAACAGGACCAGAAUGAAGCCCUGACAUAUGUUGCAGCCAAAGAUUUCCCAGGGUUCCCAAGACGGUUGCGGGAAGCCAAGCGUUCUUAAAUUCUUCGGAAAAUCCCAAAUGCACCCAUGAUGACAAAGGGCAGCUUCUGGUCUCACCCAAAUAGCAACCAGCUACAAGUCAGUCUAUUUGUCCUUCCAGUGACAUCUUAACAGCAGAGAUUAUGCAGAAGGCACUUUGCCAAUCUGUGCUGGCUCUUUCUGCAGCUGGUUGAUAGAGAAAGGAGUGGCUUCAACCAUCCGGCCCAAGGUUCUUUCAGCAUAACCUGCAUUCACUCAGCGAUUUGCUAACUGGAUAAAAAGUCUUGGUAACAUUCAAGACAGCAUGGCUUCACAGUGACAGCUAGCAGACAGCAAGGUAGUGUGGCUUUUACUGUCCCACGCAUUCUCCCUACAUGCGCUAUGAUUACUUGCAGCAUUAAAAUAGUUUUUCCUUCUGGU